rnacentral:rRNA from 1 species
GUCGAGAAUAAUUCACAAUGGGGGAAACCCUGAUGGUGCAACGCCGCGUGGAGGAUGAAGGUCUUCGGAUUGUAAACUCCUGUCAUCUGGGAGUAAGACCUGACGGUGAAUAGCCGGCAGGGUUGAUAGUACCAGAAGAGGAAGGGACGGCUAACUUCGUGCCAGCAGCCGCGGUAAUACGAAGGUCCCAAGCGUUGUUCGGAAUCACUGGGCGUAAAGGGAGCGUAGGCGGCGUGGUAAGUCAGAUGUGAAAGCCCGGGGCUCAACCCCGGAACUGCAUCCGAUACUGCCAUGCUUGAGGGUUGGAGAGGUAGCUGGAAUUCUCGGUGUAGCAGUGAAAUGCGUGGAUAUCGAGAGGAACACUCGUGGCGAAGGCGAGCUACUGGACAACAUCUGACGCUGAGGCUCGAAGGCCAGGGGAGCAAAAGGGAUUAGAAACCCGAGUAGCC